ACUCCUACGGGAGGCAGCAGUGGGGAAUAUUGCACAAUGGGGGAAACCCUGAUGCAGCCAUGCCGCGUGUGUGAAGAAGGCCUUCGGGUUGUAAAGCACUUCAGUAGGGAGGAAGGUAGUGUAGUUAACACCUGCAUUAUUUGACGUUACCUACAGAAGAAGCACCGGCUAACUCCGUGCCAGCAGCCGCGGUAAUACGGAGGGUGCGAGCGUUAAUCGGAAUUACUGGGCGUAAAGCGCAUGCAGGCGGCCUGUUAAGUCAGAUGUGAAAGCCCGGGGCUUAACCUCGGAAUUGCAUUUGAAACUGGCAGGCUAGAGUCUUGUAGAGGGGGGUAGAAUUUCAGGUGUAGCGGUGAAAUGCGUAGAGAUCUGAAGGAUACCAGUGGCGAAGGCGGCCCCCUGGACAAAGACUGACGCUCAGAUGCGAAAGCGUGGGGAGCAAACAGGUUUAGAUA
rnacentral:rRNA from 1 species